rnacentral:rRNA from 1 species
UUAGUUCGUGGAGUGAUCUGUCUGCUUAAUUGCGUUUCAUUUGAAACAUAAGGAAAGGUUUGGUUAACGUCGCCUUUAGGGGUUGAUCGUUCCAUUCCUCAUUCCUUUUUCUCGAAGGCAACGAACGUGACCGCAACCUCUUGUUGCCAGAGAAAUAUUUUGAUUUUAUUAAAAUAUAUUCUGGGUGUACAUUUCUAUAUGUACAUAACUAGAGGGACCGCUGACAAUUAUUUUUUAAAACAGAGGAAGAUUGCGGCAAUAACAGGU